rnacentral:rRNA from 1 species
UAMSGWWWGAGUGCUAGGUGUUGGAGGGUUUCCGCCCUUCAGUGCCGGAGCUAACGCAUUAAGCACUCCGCCUGGGGAGUACGACCGCAAGGUUGAAACUCAAAGGAAUUGACGGGGGCCCGCACAAGCGGUGGAGCAUGUGGUUUAAUUCGAAGCUACGCGAAGAACCUUACCAGGUCUUGACAUCUUGCGCCAACCCUAGAGAUAGGGCGUUUCCUUCGGGAACGCAAUGACAGGUGGUGCAUGGUCGUCGUCAGCUCGUGUCGUGAGAUGUUGGGUUAAGUCCCGCAACGAGCGCAACCCUUGUUACUAGUUGCCAGCAUUAAGUUGGGCACUCUAGUGAGACUGCCGGUGACAAACCGGAGGAAGGUGGGGAUGACGU